UUGUUACUUUUAAUAAUCUCUGAAGCCAUACUUUGAUCCUUUUUUUCGUUUUCCCGAUUGUGACAGGAAUAUAGCUGUCCGAUUUAGUAUUUCAAUAUGGUUUAGUAAUUGCAUUUAUCAAUUCGGUUUAUCUGUUUUGGUUUAUUAGAAACACUUAUAUGUAUGAUUUGCCCUUUUACGGGAAUCAAUCAAUCAAACAUUAAAACAAUCUUCUAAAACCUAAAUCUCUGAUCAUCAUGUUCAUCAUCAUCCACCAUUAAGAAUCUAUGUUCUUCGGGUUGAUCCUUCUUCCCUCGUGGUCAUCCUCUAGGCUUUGAUUUACCGGUUCUCGAGCUCUCGGUUUAGAAAGCUUAUGGCUGGGGUUAAGGAUUUGGGGUUUUAAGCUCUUCAUACGUUUGUGUUUGAUUUGUCUAGGCUACUGAGGCACAAUUUUAAUUGCUUACUAGCUAUUGUGGAUUUCACCAUAUCACAUAGGUUUAAGAAUGCUAUGAGGUUGCUGCUGAUUAUGAUGGGAACCGCAACACAGAGAAGCUAAAGAAGCUUGAAAUAUGCUGACGAGGUUGGAUCCAUAAAACUCAAUCGUGAUCACAAAGUCAUUUUGCAACUUGCUUAGCUUGGCCAAUCUACAAAUCUUCAAAUUUUAUCCAAAUUAACUAGCAAGUUAUAUCCAGAUUAAUUAUGUAAUAUCCCGUUAAUAUCCCCAAGUACAUAGUACUUCAUAUUUUGUAUUAAUUUAACUCUAACCUAUAAUGGAUUGAUUAUCCGGUUCUAAUAUUCAUUCACAUUAGAGAUACAUAAACCAUGUUCUGGAUAUUACCUGUCAUACUCCGGAUUAUCUAUGUAUUAUUCAGUUUUUUAUAUACAUUCACAAUGCAGAUACAUAAACUAUUUUCUGGAUAUUUAUUUUUAAUCAUGAUUAUCUUUUAAUCAUCUGGUUAUUCUAGAUAGGUGAGAUGCAUAUCAAAUAACCGGAUAUUUU